rnacentral:rRNA from 1 species
UACGUAGGGUGCAAGCGUUGUCCGGAAUUAUUGGGCGUAAAGAGCUCGUAGGCGGCUUGUCGCGUCGGCUGUGAAACCGUGGGCUCACCCGGGCCUGCAGCCCGAUACGGGCAAGCUAGAAUUCGGUAGGGGAGACUGGAAUUCUCGGUGUAGCAGUGAAAUGCGUAGAUAUCGAGAGGAACACCAGUGGCGAAGGCGAGUCCCUGGACAACACCUGACACUGAGGCACGAAAGCUAGGGGAGCAAACAGG